rnacentral:rRNA from 1 species
GGAGCUGUCCUUAGUACGAGAGGACCGGGAUGGACAUACCUCUGGUGUACCAGUUGUCGUGCCAACGGCAUAGCUGGGUAGCUAUGUGUGGACGGGAUAAGUGCUGAAAGCAUCUAAGCAUGAAGCCCCCCUCAAGAUGAGAUUUCCCAACUUCGGUUAUAAGAUCCCUCAAAGAUGAUGAGGUUAAUAGGUUCGAGGUGGAAGCAUGGUGACAUGUGGAGCUGACGAAUACUAAUCGAUCGAAGACUUAAUCAAAA